UUAUCAUUAUUAAACACUGACUGUUUUUUUUUCCUAUAGAUUUGUCUGGGUUGACUUUACAACACUCGGGUGAAACAUCAGAAUCCUGUGUGAUCCCACAUCAAGGCCAGCAGCAUGCAGUGUCUGUAUUUGGAGGGGCAGAAAAUAGGCUAGUCAAGAACGAGUAUGGAAAGCUGGAAAGUGGACCAGGUGGGGUACAAGCCCUACAACACGUGGGAC